rnacentral:lncRNA from 1 species
UUUUUUUUUUUGGGGGGGGGGUUGUUUGUUUGUUUUUACAAACAGUAUUCCUCAGAAUGUGAUCAGAAGGCAGGCAUGGCUGUAUUUGGAGAUUUAACAGUGUACUUUAUACUAUUGACUUAACUGUUGUUUGGACUGCCUGUUUAUUCCCAGAGAGGAAAAUGAAAAAUCUGUCAGUUCAAAUUCUUGGGGAACAUCAAGUCUUCAGAAUUUAUCUAAAGCUUAUCAUGAUUUCAUAAGACUUUCUUUGCAUGCAGCUAUUAGUCCAGUACAAAGCACUGAUUUGUGAUUCUUAACUAGACUGUUAAUUUCUGAGACAUUUGGAUGGAAGUAAAUGUAUGAAUGUUAAUUUAUGUAUGUAAAUUAGACACAUUUUUCUAGAUUCCGUGGGCUUUUAUUAAAAAUAGAGACUUUCUAGGGAUUUACUUAGGCCAUAGGAUGGCCAAAUCAAUAAUAAUGACAAUAAUAUUACUAAUCAUAGCUAACAUUUAUUGGGCACUUGCUGUGUACCAGGCACUAUUCUAUUUUUUUAAGGAUUUUUAUAACAGCUUUAUUGAGAUACACUUUACCAUGAAGUUCACCCUUUUAAAGUGUACCACUCAGUGUUUUUUAGUGUAUUUACGGAGUUGCACAACAUCACUGCUAUCUAAUUUUCAAACACCAUUAUUGCUUCACAAAGGAACCCCACAUCCAUGAGCAGUCACUCCCACUACCCAUUCACCUCAGCCCCUGUCAACCACCAAUCUGCUUUCUGUCUUUAUUGAUUUGGCUGGGCACUGUUCUUCAGUGCAUGGUGUGUCUCUUCUACUCCUAGACAUAAAGUGCUAGAGUUCUCAUUUUACAUGUAGAAAAUUGAGGCACAGAAGAAGCUAAGUAAAUUGCCUGAGGUCACACAGGAAAUUAAUUUACAAUAGGAAUAACAGAUGAAAGCAUAGUAGUACACAAUUUUGGAUUGCAUUAUUGUAUACCUGAAAAAGAACACACCCCUUCCCCAGGGAUUGCCCCCUUGUUAUUAGACUUUCCACCCUAGAAUUGAUUGGAGGUACAUAAUGCUGAUCCUUUUUUCUGAGUAGUGGAACACUACACAUCAACAGCCUCUGAGAACACGAAAUUAGUUGUACAUUAAGAAGAGUUCGGUUUGCUGCCCUCGCCUCUUUUUGAAUUCUUUCCUGUCUCUUCCACACACAUUUAACCUUUUUUCUCAAAGUUUUAAGACUCAAACUUUUGCCUCUUAAAUUUCCCAGAGGGAUGGUAAAUGCAUCAGAUGUAACUUAUCUCUUCAGGUGUUUAUAGUCAAGGGAUGCAUAUACUUAUUUCUCAUACCUUUUAACAUUCCUAACACCUCAGUAGGCAUGCAGGAAUAGAAUACCUUUCUAGAUGGGCUAAACUAGGUAAGAGGAAGAAAUGUCAGAGUCAAGACUUUGCCUUAAUGAAGUCAGUGUACCCCUGGUAGGAAGUGGCCACACACCACUCUUAUUCACUCUCUUGUCCUUGCAGAGCCUGUAUACUCUGCGCCAUCACUGAUGGUAAUUUUGUGGUCCUCUCCGGUACUCCCAUCUUAAUCCUGAUUGUUCCUAUAAAUAAUAAACCUGUGAAAAGAAGAAACCUG